AUUGAACGCUGGCGGCAGGCCUAACACAUGCAAGUCGAACGAGUGGCGGACGGGUGAGUAAUGUCUGGGAAACUGCCUGAUGGAGGGGGAUAACUACUGGAAACGGUAGCUAAUACCGCAUACCAUCAGAUGUGCCCAGAUGGGAUAAGCUAGUAGGUGAGGUAAUGGCUCAUCUAGGCGACGAUCCCUAGCUGGUCUGAGAGGAUGACAAACCACACGGGAAGUGCGACCCGGUCCAGACUCCUACGGGAGGCAGCAGUGGGGAAUAUUGCACAAUGGACGCAAGCCUGAUGCAGCCCUGCCGCGAGUGUGAAGAAGGCCUUCGGGUUGUAAAGCACUUUCAGCGAGGAGGCGUUACUCGCAGAAGAAGCACCGGCUAACUCCGUGCCAGCAGCCGCGGUAAUAC
rnacentral:rRNA from 1 species